rnacentral:rRNA from 1 species
CCUACGGGAGGCAGCAGUGGGGAAUUUUGGACAAUGGGCGCAAGCCUGAUCCAGCCAUUCCGCGUGCAGGAUGAAGGCCUUCGGGUUGUAAACUGCUUUUGUACGGAACGAAAAGGCUCUGGCUAAUACCUGGGGCUCAUGACGGUACCGUAAGAAUAAGCACCGGCUAACUACGUGCCAGCAGCCGCGGUAAUACGUAGGGUGCGAGCGUUAAUCGGAAUUACUGGGCGUAAAGCGUGCGCAGGCGGUUAUGUAAGACAGAGGUGAAAUCCCCGGGCUCAACCUGGGAACGGCCUUUGUGACUGCAGGACUAGAGUACGGCAGAGGGGGAUGGAAUUCCGCGUGUAGCAGUGAAAUGCGUAGAUAUGCGGAGGAACACCGAUGGCGAAGGCAAUCCCCUGGGCCUGUACUGACGCUCAUGCACGAAAGCGUGGGGAGCAAACAGGAUUAGAUACCCCUGUAGU